GACGUAGGGCGCAAGCGUUGUCCGGAUUUAUUGGGCGUAAAGAGCUCGUAGGCGGCUUGUCGCGUCGGAUGUGAAAGCCCGGGGCUUAACUCCGGGUCUGCAUUCGAUACGGGCAGGCUAGAGUGUGGUAGGGGAGAUCGGAAUUCCUGGUGUAGCGGUGAAAUGCGCAGAUAUCAGGAGGAACACCGGUGGCGAAGGCGGAUCUCUGGGCCAUUACUGACGCUGAGGAGCGAAAGCGUGGGGAGCGAACAGG
rnacentral:rRNA from 1 species